GCUGCUUUGGCUAGUCAGGAUAAGUUGCUUAGGCAGGCUGCUCAUGAGAGGAGAGAGUUUAGAUCCAAGUACGAGAGCAUGCUUAGGGAACUUGAGGCUGCUAGAGCUUCAGUUGAGGUGUCCGACAAGACUGAAUGUGAUGAGUGCGUUCUACACAUGUCGAACAUCACCACUUUGCAGACCAAGUGCUCCACCUUGCUAGAUGAGCGCGACGAGUUGAGAUCUAGUUUUAUCCUGUUGGGUGCGUGUACUGUUUGUCCUGGCUUGCAGUCUGAGCUAGCAGAGAGAGAUGCUAGGAUAGCUUUGCUUGAGAAGGCUAGCUUAGUGAGCGCCCCUGCACCUGUGCAAUGUGCACUUUGUGAGGGUUUGCAAUCUGCCCUUGAGUCCUACAGACACGACAAGACAAGAAUCAAGGAAGAAAACACAUACCUUCGAUCUAUCUUGAGUUAGGUGUCAUGCAGUGAGCCCUAGUUGGGCAUGGUGGUCAGUCAGUUCAAGAGGGGAACUGGCAGACCGAGGUUAGGCUUUGCUACUAAGGAUGGGAGUUGUGGCAGAACCUCCCAAGUUAUUGGGCCCACAUGCCCCUGCCCUUGUCUCAAAGACCUCAGACGGCUAUGCAUGUGCACCGGGUAACUUAACAGGAUCCGUUCGAGUGUCCCAAGGACCCGGAUAAACCACUCACAACCAGGAUCACAAGAUUAAGUAAACACAAAUCACACACCAACAUUUUUGCAGCGGAAUUUCUUUAUUACAAAAGUUACAAGUUACAACAAAUUUACAUUAUGUUUAUCGAAGUGAUUACAAAAGUGAUUCAAAGAAAUAAACUUUGAAAUGUUAUAAAUUAUUUAUAAUUUUGAAAUAUAUGCUAGCUCAAUGAUAAUCCUCAAUAAGAAGUAUAGGAGAGGUACUUAGGCUUAUAAGAAGGUCGUGCCCACCGGUGCUUAACACCAUCCAUAGCAACACAAAUCUAGUACCUGCAACAACAUGGGUUCAAAAACCCUGAGUACGAAGUGUACUUUUGCAAGUCUUACCCGACUAAGGAAAAAUGACUCUCAAGGAUAUGCUGGUUAAAUAGGAAUCAAGGAAAAGGCUUUAGCAAGAAUCAACUUAGAUACUUUUGCAGAAAUAGCUUACUAAAGUGAGUCCUAACUUUCAAUAUUAUAAUGCCAGAUUAAAUAUUAAUAGACUCUAGUUGCAUCUAGUCUAAUUUCACCAUCUCAUCAAUACAACAUCAUUUUUAUUAAUAAUGUUUACAUGCUAACCUAGGUUGCAGGUCAGAGAUCAAGUCUCCACUGUCCGGGGAUAUAACAGCGAUCCGAAUUGAUUUACUCAGCUGAGGACCUCUAACCACACGACAUAUGUUUCUCGUAACUCUUGCAUAUGUAUACCAUUCCCAUGGAUCCUCCACUGCAUGAAUAGGUCCACGCCACCCGAGAGCACACCACCCCUUUUAGGUGGUCCUUUGCUAGGAGGGUACGUGCCACUCUCGCCAUCUCUCCACUCCCAAUGCGCGAUUGUCUUUUCAUGUAUGGAAUAGCCGGGUUCAAGCUUACCCUGUCCCAUAUCUAGGGCAUGUGGCCAGUUAAGAUAGUCCUUGAUCAUAUAGGCCUACAUACGCAUUCAAUCCUUAAUUAACCUGGGUGGAGCAUCACCUGUUCCUAGCCCAAGUCUCGAGUUAAGUACUUCCACCAUUAGGAUUGUUUUGUGUUCCUAAGGAUGAAAAGAGCAUUAUAGGGAACUUUGCAGUAAGAUCCCACCAUGCUCCCAAUGAAAAUAUUCUUGUAGGCAGAAACCAUCCUUUCACAGGAUAACCCCUGAGCUAGGCAUUAUUGCAAAAGACAACCUCUAUCUACAAGAUCUAAGCAGGGCUAAGCAUUUUUGUAAACAAUAUUUGAUACUUCCAAAGAAGUACCUAUAAUAGGAAUGGAUAUCAAGGUAGUCAAUGCAUCAAAUAGUUUUCAAGCAAUUCCUAAAACUUAAUGCACAUUUCAUUAGACUUAAGUGUAUAAAAGUCUUUUUAAAAAUACAAGGAAGGGGUAAAUGCACCGGGGCUUGCCUAGAAUAAACACUACGUCAGUGUUGUUAGAUGAUACUCGCUUGGCGAGCACCUCCCAUCCUGGCACUUGGUUGAUUUAUCAUCUUUAGCUUCGUCCAUUAGCAUCAUCUUGUGAUCAACCCAUCUCUUAUUCUCCACAUCACGUGAUUAAUUAACGUACCUAGAUGAUGAUAUGCAAUAAUGCAUAUAAGGACAUGAAUAGCAAAUAAUAAAUAACCUAUACUAAAGAGGGGAAACAUUUCAAGCAAGACAUCACAAACAUUCAUAACCAAGCAUUUGAUAGAGAUAUACAACCAAGCAUAAUGAUCUCGUUCUCUAACUUACACGAAUUAAAUCCAAACAGUAAGAAUUAUAAAACUAGAUAUAGUUCCUAUAUUUCUUUAGUUGAACAUAACACCAAAAUAUUCAUAAAGCAUAGGGUCAUUAUUUAUACACUUCAAAUUUAGAACAAGAAUACAAAUAAGCUACUAACCUUCUAAACCACUUUGCUAGAAGACUUGAAUUACACACCACUAAAUAAGAUAUCUCAAUAACACAAGAUAUUACGAUGCUAUGCAAUAGAGAAUUAAUUACUUAAUGGCGAAGCACAAUACAACACUUCAUAUGCAACAAGUUGUCAUCAAUUAAGGAUCAAGAAUGGACUAAUCCUACCUAGUCCAAGCAAGAGUAACUUCAGAAAUCCACUUAAUGCUUGCUGAUUUUGGACAGCAGUAUAUCAGUCAGUUUUUUAUUCAUAACUCACACGAUUUUCAUCCAAAAAUAGUAAACUACGACUUUUUGGAAAGCUUAUAAAGUCCUCUAUAACUUUUGUAUUACCAUCACAACCAGAUUCGACCUUUAGAAAGGUCAAACAGAACUAAACAUAAAUUUUAUCCAGAUUUAGAUAGAAUUCGACUACUCACUUCAAAAAUCCAUAACUGGGGUUUCAUGCACCCAAAUCAGGUGAUCCUAGACUUUUUAGAAAGCUAAUAGAAUUGUCUACAGUUCAAUUAUAAACAUCCCAGGUUAAUUCAAUGUGUAUCGAAGUCAGUUAAUACAAACAAACAUUGCUGUCCAGAUUUUUGACAGAUUCAAACAUCACAUUUCAAACAGCCAUAACUUGACUUCUAGACCACUAAAAAGGGUGCUCCAAAAUUUGUUGGAAAGCAUAAGAAAAGUAAUACAAUUCUUCUAUAAUUACUAAGAGCUGAUUCUAAGUUUAACUUGGACAAACAAGGUUAUUUUCGAAAUCAGUACAGAAUCUGGACAGAUUUCAAGACUGGAGUUGAGAAAAUAAUAACUCCCAAACUAUUAGACCUAUGAUCAUGAAAUUUUUACACAAGCAAUAUAUAAAAAUGAUCUGCAACUUUUAUAUAUAACAUCUUUACAGAAAAUGUAGUUUGCUUCACUAGAUUAGUUCCACACUCUAAACUGUAUGCACAGUUCAAACAGCAAACAUCGAUUUGCCCAUUUCAUCAAACACCUAGGAAGCGUCGCACAAGAACCUCGCCCGCUUCUCUAACCACGGCUCCAAUCUUACAUAUAUAUACACAUAUAUUACACCCACUCAUGCUUACAUGCACCAUGCAAUCAACAGUAAGAAAUAAGCUCACCUGUAGAAAAUGGGGAGGACGCCGGCCAUGCGGGAUGACUGAAAAUUAGAGCGCCAGUAGAGAUGGGGCUUGCUGCAGGAAGGAGAGCAAUGGCGUGCAGAGGGCGAGUGCCAGGGCUGGCAGUAUCCAUGGUUGAGGGGCGAGCUGGGGAUGGAGGGCAGAGGAGAUGGGGUUGCUGACUUGCUGCAAGAGGGGGAGGGCGUCCAUGGGAGAGAGCAUCGGCUGGACACCACACAGGGAGGGAGGGAGAUGGAGGAGAGGCAGCCAUGGGAGGGAUCGGCUGGGAGAUGACGUCCAGCGAGAGAGAGCGACGCGUGGGAGAGCAGGGAGUGCUGCGUGAGGGAGCUGAGGUGCUGUGUAUAGGGGAUAAGGUUGAGGGAG
rnacentral:lncRNA from 1 species